rnacentral:rRNA from 1 species
GAACGCUAGCUACAGGCUUAACACAUGCAAGUCGAGGGGCAGCAUGGUCUUAGCUUGCUAAGGCCGAUGGCGACCGGCGCACGGGUGAGUAACACGUAUCCAACCUGCCGUCUACUCUUGGACAGCCUUCUGAAAGGAAGAUUAAUACAAGAUGGCAUCAUGAGUCCGCAUGUUCACAUGAUUAAAGGUAUUCCGGUAGACGAUGGGGAUGCGUUCCAUUAGAUAGUAGGCGGGGUAACGGCCCACCUAGUCUUCGAUGGAUAGGGGUUCUGAGAGGAAGGUCCCCCACAUUGGAACUGAGACACGGUCCAAACUCCUACGGGAGGCAGCAGUGAGGAAUAUUGGUCAAUGGGCGCAAGCCUGAACCAGCCAAGUAGCGUGAAGGAUGACUGCCCUAUGGGUUGUAAACUUCUUUUAUAAAGGAAUAAAGUCGGGUAUGGAUACCCGUUUGCAUGUACUUUAUGAAUAAGGAUCGGCUAACUCCGUGCCAGCAGCCGCGGUAAUACGGAGGAUCCGAGCGUUAUCCGGAUUUAUUGGGUUUAAAGGGAGCGUAGAUGGAUGUUUAAGUCAGUUGUGAAAGUUUGCGGCUCAACCGUAAAAUUGCAGUUGAUACUGGAUAUCUUGAGUGCAGUUGAGGCAGGCGGAAUUCGUGGUGUAGCGGUGAAAUGCUUAGAUAUCACGAAGAACUCCGAUUGCGAAGGCAGCCUGCUAAGCUGCAACUGACAUUGAGGCUCGAAAGUGCGGGUAUCAAACAGGAUUAGAUACCCUGGUAGUCCACACGGUAAACGAUGAAUACUCGCUGUUUGCGAUAUACGGCAAGCGGCCAAGCGAAAGCGUUAAGUAUUCCACCUGGGGAGUACGCCGGCAACGGUGAAACUCAAAGGAAUUGACGGGGGCCCGCACAAGCGGAGGAACAUGUGGUUUAAUUCGAUGAUACGCGAGGAACCUUACCCGGGCUUAAAUUGCAGAUGAAUUACGGUGAAAGCCGUAAGCCGCAAGGCAUCUGUGAAGGUGCUGCAUGGUUGUCGUCAGCUCGUGCCGUGAGGUGUCGGCUUAAGUGCCAUAACGAGCGCAACCCUUGUUGUCAGUUACUAACAGGUUCCGCUGAGGACUCUGACAAGACUGCCAUCGUAAGAUGUGAGGAAGGUGGGGAUGACGUCAAAUCAGCACGGCCCUUACGUCCGGGGCUACACACGUAUUACAAUGGGGGGUACAGAGGGCCGCUACCACGCGAGUGGAUGCCAAUCCCAAAAACCUCUCUCAGUUCGGACUGGAGUCUGCAACCCGACUCCACGAAGCUGGAUUCGCUAGUAAUCGCGCAUCAGCCACGGCGCGGUGAAUACGUUCCCGGGCCUUGUACACACCGCCCGUCAAGCCAUGGGAGCCGGGGGUACCUGAAGUGCGUAACCGCGAGGAGCGCCCUAGGGUAAAACUGGUGACUGGGGC